rnacentral:rRNA from 1 species
GCCUAGCCCUAAACCUUGGUAAUAUAUCACACACCCUACCCGCCUGGGAACUACGAGCACCAGCUUAAAACCCAAAGGACUUGGCGGUGCUUUAGACCCCCCUAGAGGAGCCUGUUCUAGAACCGAUAACCCCCGUUCAACCUCACCCUUCCUUGUUUAUCCCGCCUAUAUACCGCCGUCGUCAGCUUACCCUGUGAAGGACUAAAAGUAAGCACAACUGGCACAACCCAAAACGUCAGGUCGAGGUGUAGCGCAUGGAAGGGGAAGAAAUGGGCUACAUUCCCUAUAUUAGGGAACACGAACGGCGCACUGAAACACGCGCCUGAAGGAGGAUUUAGUAGUAAGCGGGAAAUAGCGUGUUCCGCUGAAAUCGGCCCUGAAGCGCGC